AGUCCUUCCCCUCAACACUGGAGAGCUUAGCUGGUACAGAGGCUAUUACAAAAAAAAAGUAACUAUGAAAGAGAGGUUGAUUUGGAAUUUUCUCAAGCAUGUAAGUCUAAUGAACAUCAAGGGAGAAAUGAAAGGAUGCUUCCAAGCAAAUGUACAGGUAUUUUAUUGUUUUCAGACACCAAACAAUAUGGCAGGACAACAGCAGUGAAAAUCAAUCUAUGUUUUAUGUUGUGUAUAUCAAGACUACACAUCCAUACGUAAGCUGCAUUUCCCUUCUUUUCUGUUCCCAGGCUGUAUGGACACAGGAUGCCUCUUUAAUUCUUACACACUUUCUCUUUUCAGAUGCUUCCCCUCCCACACUUUUGGGUACCCAUCUGAAGAGUGAUUCCUUUCAUACACCCAACACUUGAGCUUCACUAUCCAGUGUGCCGAUUUCAUAUGCGUUGCCACGUACUUUCAAAUAAGUACUUCUUUACUGCCUAGACCAGAGCCAGGUUUAUUCCAUCAAAUUCCCAGGAUAUUUUUUAAGUGGAGAAGAGUUUCCAUGUGCAAUAUAUUUUCAGUUUCAUGAGUUCAGCUUGAUGGUGCCAAUUCCAGGAAAAAUUGCCUGUUCACAAGCAGGUAUCAUUAUGGAUUCAAUGGUAAUGGCAUUCUCAGCUAUAUAAAAAGCCAGCAAAUUGUGAUUUCUGAACUGACCAACUUGGAUAAUGAACAGAACCUUCAUUCUGGCCAGGAACCUGAGACAGCCUGUGACACAGCGGAUUUUUUCAGCUUCGAGCACUGGGAACCUCCAGCAAUGCCUGUCCCACCGGCAGGAGGUGUCUGGAAUGAGUCCUGCUGACCCAGAGCAGAUGUGAGUCACAUUUGGGGCCACCAAUGCAACGAGAUCAGAAGACAUCAAAUAUCCAUCUAUGUGAAGAGAAUGAACAAAAGUGUUUCACACACCUGUUCCCUGGCAAGUAGUCACUGACUUCCAAUAUCCAACAAAGCUAAGUAACAACACUUUGAGCUUUUCAUAAUUUUUCUAUGUGUGGAAAAGAUUGUGAAGCAGUGAAAUGUGUAUGUGCUUUCUUCUAAAACAAAGAACAUUUUACUCAUGUCUCCACAUCUAUAGACAGAACUCUAAGCACUUUUAAGAGCUAAAUUUUUAUGUUUGGGCAUUUUGUUGAUUUGUUGACUCGCUACGCAUUUGCCUUUUGAUAUGAUCUUGAUUCGAUGGAAGCAAUAGCAUUCCAUAAUUUCACCUGGUUAGCAAUCAUUCCUGCUAGGAGGUAGUGAUGGACAAUGAUGCAGGCAGCCUCAGGAUAUUCACUUAUUCCCAGGUUUGGGAAAGCUGCUUCUGCUUUUGUCCACAGUGCUAAGUGCCUAUUGCAUUCUCUCCCCUUUAAUCUAGCUAGCAACAAGUUAGAUGUUAAUUCAUAUUUCAUGCAAGAUUUUUAAUACUGAAAGUCUAAUGAAGAUUUAGCGUUCCGUUUUUAACAAGGCUGAUGUUACUGUUGAAAGAAAGCACAUACAUUAUUUUAAUUAAUAUCAAUUCAUAAGUGCUCUUGAUUUAUAUAUUAAACAAAGAGAGAAAGUGUCUUGUCAUACAUGACAAUUGAUUCUGUAUUCACCCAUCAUUUACUCAGAGCCCAUUUCCCCCCUUCUUGCGUGGGAAAUGCAUGAUGGAAGCUGCCAUGUAGAAUUGUGUGUCUCUCACAUGCUGUUAAUGCUGUGCUGUGAUCACCUCACCCCUUAUUUCCUUAUGACGAGCUUCAAGUCAGUUCCAGCCAACUGUGCUAGUCUCCACCUGACAUCUUCUCCUAUCAAAUAAGCAGCCUCUAUUGUUUUAAGCUUAAUGCCUUUGUGUAUGGCACAGCCUUCCAAUAAUCGCAGAGGGCCUGACAACUCAUGUGUUAUAAAGGCAUAAUGUUAGGCCAAAGGAGGUAAUUAAUAAUAGCAGUUUAAUGCAGCUGGGAGCAAGAAUUGCCUUACAAACCAAAACAUCUUCAGCCAUUUAGCCAAGUACAGAAUUAGCAAGAUGGCAAGGACCUGAAUGGAGAAACAAAUGCCCUGCCUUAUGUGUUAUGACACAGUAGGCAGUUAAGAAAAUUCCAGAAUUUUAGAAGAUGCUCUGAUCACACCAGACCAUUAUUAAAUUGAAUAUUAGCUAUUAAUUAAGUUCUGGGGAAUUUUCUUCUUUCUCCAUUUCAUUCUUUCAGUGGCAGCAAAUUGUCUUCUUUUGAAGUCAAUGCCAUGAUUUCCUCAUGUGAAACCUCUACACCAAAGGAGGCAGUGUUCUGGUCCUGCUUCCCUACCUCUCUCCUCACGCCCACCCCCACAUACAUACACGCUGUCAAGUAACUUAUGUCAAUUUCCAACAACAGCAAAAAAGUAGACACUAGAGCACUUCACAUUCUGUGCUUUAAAUAAAAAAUUUUUUCUCUGAGAUUUGUUGCUACAUUCCUACCCCAGAAAGACCCUAGAGAUACAGGCAGAGCCCAGAAAGAUCCUGUGAGUGGGCCA
rnacentral:lncRNA from 1 species